AGUGAACGCUGGCGGUAGGCCUAACACAUGCAAGUCGAACGGCAGCACAGUAAGAGCUUGCUCUUACGGGUGGCGAGUGGCGGACGGGUGAGGAAUACAUCGGAAUCUACUUUUUCGUGGGGGAUAACGUAGGGAAACUUACGCUAAUACCGCAUACGACCUACGGGUGAAAGCAGGGGAUCUUCGGACCUUGCGCGAUUGAAUGAGCCGAUGUCGGAUUAGCUAGUUGGCGGGGUAAAGGCCCACCAAGGCGACGAUCCGUAGCUGGUCUGAGAGGAUGAUCAGCCACACUGGAACUGAGACACGGUCCAGACUCCUACGGGAGGCAGCAGUGGGGAAUAUUGGACAAUGGGCGCAAGCCUGAUCCAGCCAUACCGCGUGGGUGAAGAAGGCCUUCGGGUUGUAAAGCCCUUUUGUUGGGAAAGAGAAGCAGCAGGUUAAUACCCCGCUGUUCUGACGGUACCCAAAGAACAAGCACCGGCUAACUUCGUG
rnacentral:rRNA from 1 species